rnacentral:rRNA from 1 species
ACUCCUACGGGAGGCAGCAGUGGGGAAUAUUGCACAAUGGGGGAAACCCUGAUGCAGCCAUGCCGCGUGUGUGAAGAAGGCCUUCGGGUUGUAAAGCACUUUCAGUAGGGAGGAAGGUAGUGUAGUUAACACCUGCACUAUUUGACGUUACCUACAGAAGAAGCACCGGCUAACUCCGUGCCAGCAGCCGCGGUAAUACGGAGGGUGCGAGCGUUAAUCGGAAUUACUGGGCGUAAAGCGCAUGCAGGCGGCCUGUUAAGUCAGAUGUGAAAGCCCGGGGCUUAACCUCGGAAUUGCAUUUGAAACUGGCAGGCUAGAGUCUUGUAGAGGGGUUAGAAUUUCAGGUGUAGCGGUGAAAUGCGUAGAGAUCUGAAGGAAUACCAGUGGCGAAGGCGGCCCCUGGACAAAGACUGACGCUCAGAUGCGAAAGCGUGGGAGCAAACAGGAUUAGAUACCCCU